rnacentral:rRNA from 1 species
UACGUAGGGUGCAAGCGUUGUCCGGAGUUACUGGGCGUAAAGCGCACGCAGGCGGUCAGAUCAGUCUGGAGUGACAGUCGUCGGCUUAACCGACGAAGUGUUCUGGAAACUGUCUGACUUGAGGGCUUCAGAGGGACACGGAAUUCCGGGUGGAGUGGUGAAAUGCGUAGAUAUCCGGAGGAACACCAAUGGCGAAGGCAGUGUCCUGGGAAGUACCUGACGCUCAGG